AAAACCUUCCGAAUCUGGAUGUGUAGUCCUCUGAAUUCGAGAAAAAGGCAUAAUUUUUCAAAGGGAAAUAGAAGCUUCAGGAUAAAUUUAAGGAGUUUUUAGAGUUUGUUACGUUAGAAACAUACUUGCAAUAUUAGCCAGUUACAUUUUGUGUGCAAACUGUAUUGAGAGUGAAGAUUAUGCUGCGAGGGACAAUUUGCUUGAAAGCAAAGAUUAGUCGAUAAAUUGACUUGCGAAUAUACAGCAUACCAGCUGUCAAAAACUGCUUCCGCUUUGGAAUGCAGUCACUCCAUCGGACCAUCAGCGAGGAUAAAAAAGAAGCCUUCGUGUCGACUGGUCGUGGAAAAGGCUACCGCGUACCGAUUAGAAAAGUUUGCGAAACAGAAACGCCCGCUUAAAAUACGGUUGGCAAAGAGUGUGACCGUGGGAAACAUCGGUCGGUGAUUAAAAUAAACCGUCGGAAUCGAAGUAAAAAAUUAGCCACCACUCGGAAACUCAUCCACACGAGGGACCAUUCUCGGUGUCCCGGAAAAAAACAGCCACGAGUGAUUAACUGGUCCGCACAGCCUUCGCCGAAGGGAGCCGGCAUUUCUUUGGAGAGCCAUUCAGCUUAGGAAAACAAUUCAGAUUACCUGGUAAGGAAAAUCAUGGAAUUUUACGAUGACAGCACUGACACCAUUGCCUUGCAGGACAAUCGGGCAUUGUGAAAAGCACCUUGAGAUUCUUCGGGACGUACUCGUCGCCCAAGCAAACUGCGUCACGAGAUUUAGCAGCAAGCAUCCCCUUCGUUGGAUCCGUAGGUCCACUGACGUCGAUCAUCCGGUAAUAGGAUCAGGAAAGGGACUCGAACACUAGGGCGUACGAAGGACGUGCUGAAGUGCCGAAUAGACCUGUUGGAACAACCCGACCAGCGAAACAAGAGAGCCUUACAAGGCUCUUUUUUUUCUACAGCUUCGAUUGGCCUUCAGACUCAUUCGGCGGAGGACUCUGGACCGCGACCAAUCCAUCAGCAAGGUACGAGCUGUCACACGAUCGAGGUCCAUCGACAGCGUAGAUCCCAAACAGGGUCGGGAUUCGGCACGGAGAGCGGGUGAUCGUGGAUGCCGGGGAUUACGGUGGUAGAUGAGCCACUGGCCAGCGUUAUUAUACGAAAGAAGCAUGUUGGCCGAAGCGGACGCGCUCGCCCACAAGCAGCAAUGAAGCGGUGACCGUGAGUACGAUGAAGAAAGUGGCAUAGAGUGAAAGAAGAGCUAGAAUGUUAGGGUCCAGAAGAGUAGGAGCAUGAGACAGGUUAAGGAAAAGUAAAUAAAAUGUUUGCACACUAAUAUUGCA
rnacentral:lncRNA from 11 species